rnacentral:lncRNA from 11 species
GAUUGUCCCUAGUGGCCCUUGUUUGCCUGGAUAUUACUGCACCCUGAAGGCACGGGUACCCAAUCCUGUUCAUGAUGAAUCUGGAGACCUCUGCCCUCCAGGGCAUUUCUGCCCCAUGGGUAGCAGCAACCCAACCCCAUGCCCCACUGGGACCUUUCUCCCCCAACCUGGAAUGAUGUCCUACAAUGCCUGCCUCUCCUGCCCUGGAGGAAGCUACUGCCAAGGAGAAGGUCUGGCCAGUGUUUCGGGCAUGUGCAUCGCCGGCUACUACUGUGAAGCAUCAUCCUCACAUCCAGACCAGAAGCUGUGUCCUCCAGGCUUCUACUGCCCCAAAGGCACGGGGUCUCCAACGCCAUGUGCUCCAGGAAGCAUCAAUCCCCACAGUGGGAAAUGGGCUGCUGUUGACUGCGAACUUUGCCCAGCUGGCUAUUUCUGCAGUGGGCUUGGGAAGACUGCUCCCGAAGGGACAUGUUCCUCUGGUUAUUAUUGCCCACCGGGUCAGUCCUCUGCCACACCACCUUCCCACUGGUGCCCAUCUGGAUAUUACUGCCUCGAGGGAUCUGUGGCUCCAAUGGCAUGCAAGAAAGGCACCUACCAAUCAGAGGAAGGGAAAGAAUCAUGUGAUCUCUGCCCUGCUGGGUUCUUUUGUGACACAUCCAAUGAAAGUAAGAAUACUGGAGGGUUGCGUGCAUGAUUCUGGUCAAAGAUAGUUUCUCCUCCU